rnacentral:lncRNA from 1 species
UUUUAUAUUUUAUUAUACCCCCGCUUUAAAAAAGGGGGGGUAUACUGUUUUACCUUUGUCUGUCAGUCCGUCCAUCAGUCCGUCAGUCAGUCCGUCCCAUGAAACUUUCGUCACAUUUUUCUCAGGAACUACACAUCCACCCUUUCUGUAAUUUGGUAUCAACAUUUAUAUAUGUCAGCCAUACCGUGUGAUGCGUUUUCAGAUUCAUCACUCGACAACUUCCUGUUAACCGAACACUUGCAUAUUUUUACACUAUUAAUAUUAUCCACUUGCGGCGGGGGUAUCAUCAGUGAGCAGUAGCUCGCAGUUUCACUUGUUUAUAC